GAAAGCCGUAUGAGGGAAAACCUCACGUACGGUUUGAUGAGGAGAGGCUGAAGAAAAAAAAUCUUUCAGCCUUUUACUCUAGU
rnacentral:ncRNA from 1 species